AAUUCUAGUCCUGAUACAAAAAUGCUAACCAGGAACCUUUUUUGUAAUCUUUGUUAGUAAAUAGUCGCCACAAUUUAAGGCAACAACCUUUAACUGAACUGAAAUUUGCCGAGUCAAAUACAGGAUAAUCAUGCAGAACUUUUUCACUAAAACUAUCAGUUUGGAACAGUGUACUGUGAGAAUUUUUAAAAGAAAGAAAUAACCAGAUCUUAGGAUGGAUCUGGAGUUCUUUGAAAUUUGCGUAUUUUAUCAUAUUUGAUUACAUUUGCUACUUUAUUAUUCUAUGACCAUGUUAAUAUUGAAUAGUUUCUUUUAUAUACACAUGCAAAUAUUCAUCUAUUGCACAACUAUCAAGGGUAAAGUAAGUUUUGCUGUUCCAUUUAUGUGGGUAGUAGAGAAGUCUAAUUCGUAUUUUCACCUCUAUCAGAUUUAUCACAUCUGAUAGGUAAAGCUUUUUUUCUCCUCCAACUCUUUUUUGUUGGGACUGUAUACACCAGUGAUUUAAAAAGCGCUAGGCGCUCGCCCGAGCGAAGCGAGGCGCUAAAUUAUAAAAAUAUAUAAUAUAAUUAUAACAAUAAUUUCAAAUAAAUAAAAAUUAACAACAUUAAAAUCAAAAUAAUAUAUUAUUAAUCUAUUAACAGAAAAUUAAUCAUUUCAAAAUUCAAAUAAACUUAAUAUUAAGAGUAUACUGAGCCUGAUGGAGAAACGAGGAAGCGGCGAGCGGCGGCGGCAACAGCGGCGAGCGGCGGCAGCGGCAGCGGGAAAGGGAAAGGGAGCGGAAGGCGCGAGCAGCGGGAAGGCUCGCGGGAGGGCUCGCAGGAGGCGAGAGGGCUCGUGGGAGGCGCGAGCAACGGGAGGGCUCGNNNNNNNNNNNNNNNNNNNNCGCGAGCAGCGGGAGGGCUCGCGGGAGGCGCGAGCAGCGACAGCGGCGAGCAGCGGCAGCGGGAGCAGCGGCAGCGAGCGACGAGAUCGCGAUCGGGAUCGGGAUCGAGAGCAGCAGUAGGUUAGUGUUGGGUUAGGGUUAGGGUUGGGGUUAUAUCGGUUUAGUUGGUUCGAUUGAACCAACUAACAACCGAACCAGGAUCGAACCAGACCUAAAAUUCUGGUUCGGUCGCCUUGGUUUACCCAGGCGCUCGCCCGAAGCGCCCAGCGCUUGGGCUCGGGCAAGCGCCCAGGCGGCGCCUGUUUGAAGCGCGCCGCCUGGGACAUUAUCGAGGCGCUCGGGCCUCGCCUCGCCCGAGCGCCUAGGCGAGCGCCCGAGCGCCUUUUGCAAUCACUGGUAUACACAUAUAUGUAUGUAUAUGUACAUAUUUGAGAAAGCUGCUAGAUAAAACUCAUGAAGCUUGACAUGAUUGUAUUUUGCACAAAAGAAGAAUCUGCUAUAAGGUGACAAGAUUCUUGGUGAAACUGUCACAAAGAAAGCCAGGUCUUAGAGAAGGCACUUUUUAUUGAAAAUGACUGUUGAGAUUUAGCCACGUGCAUAAAAUAAGAAGAACAUGACAAAAUAAAAUAGUUUCAUGACUAACCAAUGGGCCUCUGUGCAUAUCAUAUCUUCUAGACUUAAAAAGUAUUGGUGUGUUGUUUGUGUGUACAUAUCAGAUAUCAUGGUUGCAUGUUUUGAUUGGUAAUGUUUGAAACAAUUAGUUCUGACCCAUUCCUGGAACAAGACAAAGCACCAUAUUGUUGAUUAUAACCAAAAUUGUAAAUUCUAAACCCAUGGGGUUUAUAUGUGAUGAGAAUGAUAAUGACAACAAUAACUCGACAUUGAUGAUAACUGAUAAGAUUCUUUUCCCAAUCAUUUUGGGGGAAAGAUACAUGGGUACUCUUCUGACAUUAGUUCUAUAAAGGGAAACACCUGAGAGUCCAAAGAUUGUUCUUAAUGACAAUUCUCUUAGUUUACUCUUUUCUGUAACUUCUAGCUUGAAUUCACUUAGUUUUGUUUGUUGGGGCAUUUAAUGAAGUUUUCUGGACAUGUAUUUCCUGCUUUCGUAUUUGAGUCAGAACACCUAUGAUUUAGACCAUUUGAUCCUAUAUGUAAAGGUCCAAUUUCUUUCGAUUUCAAAAUGC
rnacentral:lncRNA from 1 species